GAUGAACGCUGGCGGCGUGCCUAAUACAUGCAAGUCGAGCGAACGGACGAGAAGCUUGCUUUUCUGAUGUUAGCGGCGGACGGGUGAGUAACACGUGGAUAACCUACCUAUAAGACUGGGAUAACUUCGGGAAACCGGAGCUAAUACUGGAGAAUAUUUUGAACCGCAUGGAUCAAAAGUGAAAGACGGUUUUGCCGUCAGUUAUAGAUGGAUCCGCGCUGCAUUAGCUAGUUGGUAAGGUAACGGCUUACCAAGGCAACGAUGCAUAGCCGACCUGAGAGGGUGAUCGGCCACACUGGAACUGAGACACGGUCCAGACUCCUACGGGAGGCAGCAGUAGGGAAUCUUCCACAAUGGGCGAAAGCCUGACGGAGCCACACCGCGUGAGUGAUGAAGGUCUUCGGAUCGUAAAGCUCUGUUAUUGGGGAAGAACAUAUGUGUAAGUAACUGUGCACAUCUUGACGGUACCUAAUCAAAAAGCCCCGGCUAACUACGUG
rnacentral:rRNA from 1 species